GAGCUGAAGUCAGACGCUUAACCAACUAAGCCACCCAGCUGCCCCCCGAAUAAUCCUUUUCAAACUUAAGUGAGACCUACUCAGCACCCUCCAGUGGCUUCCCAUUCCAGGCAGAGUAAAGGGCAAAGGGUCAAGUCUUUGGUCGCGAGGGCCCUGCAUGAGCUGUUUCCCCAGUGACCUCCUAUACCCGGGCUCUGCUCUUGCAGCUUGACCAUUAAGACCGUCUAGCUCUUCCAAGAAUAGCACCAAGGCCUCUCCUGCCUGAUGGCCUUCGCAUUCAUUUGUUGUUCUCUUGGCCUGGAAUGCUCUUCCCUAAGCUGCCCACAUUCCUUCAGGUCUCUGCUCAAGUAUCACCUGCGCUCCUCAUGUAAAAUGGCAACUCUCCCUGGCUCUCCCACCUUCCCACAUUCAUUACUCCCUGUUGAUCGCACCAUGCUUUGUCUCCGUAGCAUGAACUGCUGCUUGAUAGAAUGGAUUUGUUUAUGUAUCUACCGUCUGGGCUCCUCCACCAGAACGUAAGCUCCAUGACAUCACAGACUAUUGUCUUGGCUUCUGUAUUCCUAUCGCCUAGUGACUACUCAAUAAAUACGUGCUGCAGAAAUAACUGGAUGGAGGAAAAUUUCAUGGAUGGGGGUGCUUAUCUAUGGCUCCCCUUCUGCUCCUCCCUGACCCCAGAGUCUGCAGUGGGAGGCAUGGCCACGCAGCCCAAAACGGUGAAGGAGAAGGGUUUCAGCUUCCUGUGCAAGAAAGGCCCAACUGUGCUAAGGUUGACGUCAGAACCAGAGAACGCCCUGCUUGGCCUCCCCAUCUCCAACCUGCCCACAAAUGGAGAUUUGUCUGAGAUGACAAUAUGGCUAACAUUUGGACAGCACUUCCAACCGGUUCUUAAAACGGCCGGGGGAUGGUUAGCAGAUGAGAAAACUGAAGAGAGAGUGAUGUGACUAGAAGAAACUAACACUCUGUGGCCAUCAUAUAAAAGAAGUAACCCUGGGGGGCUCUGCCUUCCACCUAUGUCCCCGACAGUCUGGGUGUAAGCGGAGUGGUGAGUGGACAGAGAAAGGGCACUGGAGACAGUCAGGCUGGUUUUGGAGAACCAGUGCUGCCCCUUCUCAGCUGUAUGACUACAGAAAUCUACUUGACCUCUCCGAGCCUCGCCUUCUUUCUGUGUCUUCAAAGUUGUAUGGCAUUUUUCCUACCUUACAGGACUGCUGUGAAGACUUCAAGGGAUAAUGUAUGCAAAGUGCUUAGCGCACUGCUGACACAUGGUAGACACACACACAUGCUGUUAUACUAAUAAUAAAAAGUAAUAGGCAGGUGGCCA